CCAGCGGAGGGAUCAUUACCGAGUUUACAACUCCCAAACCCAAUGUGAACCAUACCAAACUGUUGCCUCGGCGGGGUCACGCCCCGGGUGCGUCGCAGCCCCGGAACCAGGCGCCCGCCGGAGGGACCAACCAAACUCUUUUCUGUAGUCCCCUCGCGGACGUUAUUUCUUACAGCUCUGAGCAAAAAUUCAAAAUGAAUCAAAACUUUCAACAACGGAUCUCUUGGUUCUGGCAUCGAUGAAGAACGCAGCGAAAUGCGAUAAGUAAUGUGAAUUGCAGAAUUCAGUGAAUCAUCGAAUCUUUGAACGCACAUUGCGCCCGCCAGUAUUCUGGCGGGCAUGCCUGUCCGAGCGUCAUUUCAACCCUCGAACCCCUCCGGGGGGUCGGCGUUGGGGACCUCGGGAGCCCCUAAGACGGGAUCCCGGCCCCGAAAUACAGUGGCGGUCUCGCCGCAGCCUCUCCUGCGCAGUAGUUUGCACAACUCGCACCGGGAGCGCGGCGCGUCCACGUCCGUAAAACACCCAACUUCUGAAAUGUGACCUCGAUCAGGUAGAAACCCCAG
rnacentral:rRNA from 1 species